rnacentral:rRNA from 1 species
ACUGCUCAGUAACACGUGGAUAACCUGCCCUAUCGUCUGGAAUAACCUCGGGAAACUGAGAAUAAUACCGGAUAGAUCACAACGCCUGGAACGGUGUGUGGUUGAAAGAUUACGGCAUAGGAUGGGUCUGCGGCGUAUCAGGUUGUAGGGGGUGUAACGGACCUCCUAGCCAUCGACGCGUACGGGUGUUGGGAGACAUAGCCCGGAGAUGGAUUCUGAGACACGAAUCCAGACCCUACGGGGUGCAGCAGGCGCGAAAACUUCACACUGCAGGAAACUGUGAUGAGGGAACUCCAAGUGCGCGCACUUAGUGUGCGCUUUUGUUGACUAUUAAUCGGUCAAUGAAUAAGGGCUGGGAAAGACCGGUGCCAGCCGCCGCGGUAAUACCGGCAGCUCAAGUGGUCGUCGCUUUUAUUGGGCCUAAAACGUCCGUAGCCUGUUUGGUAAAUCUGUGGGUAAAUCAACCAGCUUAACUGGUUGAAUUCUGCAGAGACUGCCAGACUAGGGACCGGGAGAGGUGUGGGGUACUCUAGGGGUAGGGGUAAAAUCCUGUCAUCCUUAGAGGACCACCAGUUGCGAAGGCGCCACACUGGAACGGAUUCGACGGUCAGGGACGAAGCCUAGGGGCGCGAACCGGAUUAGAUACCCGGGUAGUCCUAGGUGUAAACGCUGUGAACUUGAUGUCGGGAGUCCGCAAUGGGCCCCCGGUGCCGGAGU